AGUGAACGCUGGCGGUAGGCCUAACACAUGCAAGUCGAACGGCAGCGCAGUAAGAGCUUGCUCUUACGGGUGGCGAGUGGCGGACGGGUGAGGAAUACAUCGGAAUCUACUUUUUCGUGGGGGAUAACGUAGGGAAACUUACGCUAAUACCGCAUACGACCUACGGGUGAAAGCAGGGGAUCUUCGGACCUUGCGCGAUUGAAUGAGCCGAUGUCGGAUUAGCUAGUUGGCGGGGUAAAGGCCCACCAAGGCGACGAUCCGUAGCUGGUCUGAGAGGAUGAUCAGCCACACUGGAACUGAGACACGGUCCAGACUCCUACGGGAGGCAGCAGUGGGGAAUAUUGGACAAUGGGCGCAAGCCUGAUCCAGCCAUACCGCGUGGGUGAAGAAGGCCUUCGGGUUGUAAAGCCCUUUUGUUGGGAAAGAAAAGCAGCAGGUUAAUACCCCGCUGUUCCGACGGUACCCAAAGAAUAAGCACCGGCUAACUUCGUG
rnacentral:rRNA from 1 species